UGAGCAAUCUGCCCUUCUCAUCGGAAUAAGCGUUGGAAACGACGUCUAAUGCCGAAUACGACCUCCUUUCGCAUGAUCGGAGGUGGAAAGCUCCGGCGGAGAAGGAUGAGCUCGCGGCCUAUCAGCUAGUUGGUGUGGGUAAUGGCCCACCAAGGCGAACGACGGGUAGCCGGCCUGAGAGGGUGACCGGCCACACUGGGACUGAGACACGGCCCAGACUCCGUACGGGAGCAG
rnacentral:rRNA from 1 species